rnacentral:rRNA from 1 species
CUGGCUCAGGAUGAACGCUAGCGGCAGGCCUAACACAUGCAAGUCGCGGGGCAGCACGGGUAGCAAUACCUGGUGGCGACCGGCGCACGGGUGCGUAACGCGUAUGCAACCUGCCCCCAUCAGGGGAAUAGCCCGCCGAAAGGCGGAUUAAUGCCCCAUAGGCCCAGGGCGCCGCAUGGCGCUAUGGGUAAAGCUCCGGCGGAUGGGGAUGGGCAUGCGUGCCAUUAGCUAGUUGGGGCGGUAACGGCGCACCAAGGCGACGAUGGCUAGGGGGUCUGAGAGGAUGGUCCCCCACACUGGUACUGAGACACGGACCAGACUCCUACGGGAGGCAGCAGUGAGGAAUAUUGGUCAAUGGGCGGAAGCCUGAACCAGCCAUGCCGCGUGCAGGAUGACGGCCCUACGGGUUGUAAACUGCUUUUCCCCGGGAAGAAUAAGCCCCUCGUGAGGGGUGGUGCCGGUACCGGGGGAAUAAGGAUCGGCUAACUCCGUGCCAGCAGCAGC